rnacentral:pre_miRNA from 1 species
AUAAUAUUUCCUUCGUCUAAAAAUACUUGUCUUAAAGAUGAAUGUAUCUAGACUUAUUUUAGUUAUAAAUACAUCUAUUAUAUCCAUUUCUAAGGUAAGUAUUUCCAGACGAAAGGAGUAUAUA